UGNNAANCGAGCCGGUGGCGUACCCUUUUAGGGAGCGAGCCGUCUAAGGUGGGACAAAUGAUUAGGGUGAAGUCGUAACAAGGUAGCCGUAGGAGAACCUGCGGCUGGAUCACCUCCUUUCUAAGGAAACAGACUGAAAGUCUGACGGAAACCUGCACACACGAAACUUUGUUUAGUUUUGAGGGGAUCACCCUCAAGCACCCUAACGGGUGCGACUUUGUUCUUUGAAAACUGGAUAUCAUUGUAUUAAUUGUUUUAAAUUGCCGAGAACACAGCGUAUUUGUAUGAGUUUCUGAAAAAGAAAUUCGCAUCGCAUAACCGCUGACGCAAGUCAGUACAGGUUAAGUUACAAAGGGCGCACGGUGGAUGCCUUGGCACUAGGAGCCGAUGAAGGACGGAACUAAUACCGAUAUGCUUCGGGGAGCUAUAAGUAAGCUUUGAUCCGGAGAUUUCCGAAUGGGGGAACCCAGUACACAUCAGUGUAUUGCUUGUCAGUUGAAUACAUAGCUGACCGGCGGCAGACGCGGGGAACUGAAACAUCUCAGUUACCCGCAGGAAGAGAAAGAAAACUCCAUUCCCCUUAUUACCGGCCAAGCCGAANUGGGAAAAAACCCAAACCCGAAAANCUUUGCUUUCUCGGGGGUUUUUUAGGAACUGGAACNNUGGGAAUUUUCCCAAAGUUGCGGACGGUUNUCAAAAAGUC
rnacentral:misc_RNA from 1 species